UCGCGACGAAGCGUUUGCGCAGGUGUGGGCUGGAAACGGCCCUUUGGCGCCUGCGCACCGCAGGGAGGAGGGCCUGUUGCGCCCCGGCGAGGGAGCUACCUGGCUGUUUGAGGCCGGCCGCGUGGUGGCGCCCGUGACCGCAGAGAUUCCAUCGGGCCCUAUUUCUAUUUUCCUGAGUUUGAUGGACCUGACGCGGCAGGGUCUGUGAGUGUACCUACCCUCGAGGACAGAGAACAUGCAUGGCUCUCCCAAUCCAGCUUGAUUCUGAAGCCCAGAUCCCCAGCCAGCCCACUGCCCCUGCCUGAGGGCCACACAGCCAUGGGUUUCCUGUGGAUCAUCUCAGGAACCAUCUGAACGAUCCAGAAACGAUUCUCAACCUAGAAAUUGCUCUUUCUGCUAAAGACCCAGGAGCUCUCCAGCCCGCUCACCCUUGUCACUCAGGUUUGGUACAGGAAAAUGGAUACUGGUGUAUUCCAACAGUUGGACACUACACAGCAAUGACAAAAGAAUGAACCGCUACUACACACAGCAACGUGAAUCUCCUAAACAUAAGGUUGAAAGAAAGGAGCCCACUGCAGAAGAGAGCAAAUAUGGUGUGAUUCCAGUUAUAGGACAUUCAAAACCAAGCAAAACUGUAAUAAAUGGUGGUAAAACUAAGAAUAGGGUUAACUCUGGGGGGCAUUAUUGACUGAGAGCAGAAGAAAUGAGGAAAACUUGUGGGGUUCUGGAAAUCUUUUAUAUUUUGAUCUGGGUGGUGGUUACACAGGUAUAUACAUAAGUUAAAUUUAAUUAAACUGUACAGUUAAGACUUACGCGUUUUGCUAUAUGUUAUACAUCAAUA